GGCUGUUCGCCCAUUAAAGCGGUACGCGAGCUGGGUUCAGAACGUCGUGAGACAGUUCGGUCCCUAUCCGUCGUGGGCGUAGGAAAUUUGAGAGGAGCUGUCCUUAGUACGAGAGGACCGGGAUGGACAUACCUCUGGUGUACCAGUUGUCGUGCCAACGGCAUAGCUGGGUAGCUAUGUAUGGACGGGAUAAGUGCUGAAAGCAUCUAAGCAUGAAGCCCCCCUCAAGAUGAGAUUUCCCAACUUCGGUUAUAAGAUCCCUCAAAGAUGAUGAGGUUAAUAGGUUCGAGGUGGAAGCGUGGUGACACGUGGAGCUGACGAAUACUAAUCGAUCGAAGACUUAAUCAAUUU
rnacentral:rRNA from 1 species